rnacentral:rRNA from 1 species
AUUGAACGCUGGCGGCAGGCCUAACACAUGCAAGUCGAGCGAGCGGCGGACGGGUGAGUAAUGUCUGGGGAUCUGCCUGAUGGAGGGGGAUAACUACUGGAAACGGUAGCUAAUACCGCAUACCAUCAGAUGAACCCAUAUGGGAUUAGCUAGUUGGUGGGGUAACGGCUUACCGAGGCGACGAUCCCUAGCUGGUCUGAGAGGAUGACCAGCCACACUGGAACUGAGACACGGUCCAGACUCCUACGGGAGGCAGCAGUGGGGAAGAGUGCACAAUGGGCGCAAGCCUGAUGCAGCCAUGCCGCGUGUGUGAAGAAGGCCUUCGGGUUGUAAAGCACUUUCAGCGAGGAGGCGUUACUCGCAGAAGAAGCACCGGCUAACUCCGUGCCAGCAGCCGCGGUAAUUC